AUUGAACGCUGGCGGCAUGCCUUACACAUGCAAGUCGAACGGCAGCACGGGGGCAACCCUGGUGGCGAGUGGCGAACGGGUGAGUAAUGCAUCGGAACGUGCCCAGUAGUGGGGGAGUAACUAGUCGAAAGAUUAGCUAAUACCGCAUACGACCUAUGGGUGAAAGCGGGGGAGUUCGCAAGAACCUCGCGCUAUCGGAGCGGCCGAUGUCUGAUUAGCUAGUUGGCGGGGUAAAGGGCCCACCAAGGCUUCGAUCAGUAGCUGGUCUGAGAGGACGACCAGCCACACUGGGACUGAGACACGGCCCA
rnacentral:rRNA from 1 species